UACAGAGGUCUCAAGCGUUGUUCGGAUUCAUUGGGCGUAAAGGGUGCGUAGGUGGCGGGGUAAGUCAGGUGUGAAAUCUCGAGGCUCAACCUCGAAACUGCACUUGAUACUGCCUUGCUCGAGUACUGGAGAGGAGAUUGGAAUUUACGGUGUAGCAGUGAAAUGCGUAGAUAUCGAGAGGAACACCUGCGGCGAAGGCGGGUUGCUGGGCUGAUACUGACGCUGAGGCGCGAAAGCCAGGGGAGCGAACGGG
rnacentral:rRNA from 1 species